AAGUCAUGUUGAGGGAAAAUUCAUAACAUUCCAUUUUAGCACUCCCAAGCUUCACAUAACGACUCCCCAUCAUGUUGUUGGAAAUUAAAAAUAUUCUUCUUCAAUUU